AGAGGGCCUGCAGAUAGCUGCUACCUAGAGGACUCAGCCUAAAUGUCUCCUGCACAUCCAAGUGACUUACCACAUGGUUUUCCCUAUGGUUGAUUUCCUUGAUUCUGAAGAUAGAUAAACUUUAAGAAGAAAAAUGGCACCCAAUGGAAAUUUGGUGUCUCGACUUCAGUAGAGCUCUGGGUGCUAACCAUCCUCUUCCUUUGGAUCUUUUGAGCCGGUCCUCUCUCUCACUUUUUCUUCUUCCUUUCAAACAGUUCCAUAUUCAGUCUCUCCCUCUGGCUCCUGUUCCUUCUCCUGUCUCCUAAGAGAUGUUGUUCCCUGAAAAGUAAUGAAGGACCACUUUCUGAUUCCUCUCCACAGUCUCUUCGUUGCCAGUGUCAACAGCUCCCUUGCAUCGCAUGCAUGCUCCUCUAAGCAGAUUCCUGUCUUUGAGUCCCUGUCUUCGAGCUGCACUCCAGACAUAAGCACACCAUCAUCAUCCUAUCAAUACAUGUUUUAUGAAUACUUAAUUGCCAAGCAAUAAGCUAAACCCUUUGUAGGCAUUGUCUCAUUUUAACCCUUACAGGGAGCUAUAAGGAACAGAGACUUAAAGAAGCCAAAUAAGUACAGUGCCCAAGAUCACAGAGUGGGGUACAAAGUACAACAGGAACUCCAAGUCCUCCAAACUCCAAAGCCAGUAUUCUUGACCAGAACAAUAUGACUGUCUCGCCAGGACUUUAAAUUUACUAUAUCCCGCACCGAACUUCUUUACCCCCUCCCCGUUUGCUCUCCUCAAAUGUCCCUGUUUAUAAUGGUGUUACCAUUAUCUUUCCUAACAUAGAAACUCAAAACCUGGCACCAUCUUCAUUUUUCUCUUCACCCUCACAUUAGAUCAAUUUCUAAGACCUAACAAUUUCAUGUAUAGGAUCUCUACCACCUCUUCUCUGCAGUCCCACACUUAGUUCCUGGAUCCAAGUCCUCAUUAUUCCUCUCUUGGGCUGUUACCUUAACUCUGCAGUUUCUGGCUUGGAAAAUACAAUCACAUUCACAGUAACUGUCCUCAAGAAAGAAAACCAAGACAGUAAGAUAUGCAAUGAAACUAGUUUACUGAUCACUCCAUAUUGUGACCUUUUACAACAUUUAUUGUCUCUACUUUGCAUUUUGGAACUCAAUCAAAUAGUUUUGCUUUGUUAUUUAACUGUCAUAUAUGCAGAUCUUUAUACGCUUCAAGGAACCCAGUAUGCCUUUGGUACCAAAGCAGGAGAGCCUGUGGGUCUUCUCUCUAGAGCACAGUCACAGGGACUUUGCAGUGCCCAGUCUGCCUCUUUUUGUUCCAGAUUUUAAGUUCCUGGAAAAGAGACACGAUUGUCCUGGCUUGGGUCCUGUGCUGACCCCUUGAUCAAUCAGCUUUGGCUAAGCAGCAGAUCAGCCUUGUCUAAAUACAGCAAUGAGAGCCUCUCCUAUAAAUACGGCAUGUUCCCAGAAAAGGAAAAGGCAUACACCACUGUUUAUUUGUUUAUUCAUUCAUUCCAUCAACAAAUAGUUGAGCAUUCUCUCCAAAUAUAUGCAGGGUUUUUUGCACGUAUGCAAAAUGUUUAAAAUAUAACACUUCUCUCACACCAUGAAACUCAUAACAUAAAAAGAUAAGAAAUCACCAGAUAAAAAGCAUAACAAUAUUCACCCAUAAGAGACCCUCAAUUCAAUUAUAUAUGAUGGAAAAUAAUUCAGCACACCCUGCAUGAGCCUGUGGUGGUAAAAGUAAUCAGGAGUAAUGUGUGCACGUCAACAAAACAAAUUCACAACAGCACCACAAGGAAUAGACAGAUACAGAAAACAACCUCAUGUCCAUCAGGGAUAGACUAGAUCAACAAAGUGUAAUGUACUCACCCAAAUGAAUACUUUACAGCAAUGAGAAUGCCCUACAAAUAUAUACACCAAUACUGGGGAAGCUCGCAAACAACAUUAAGCAAAAGAAGCCAGACAGGAGGAAAGUACCUGGGCUGUGAUUCCAUUUAUGCAGAGUAUCAACACAGGCAAAACUAAUCUACCCCAAGGAGCAGCGACCAGAAGAGAGUGUGAAAGGAGCUACGUGUGUGCUGGCCACGCUCUGUUUCUUGAGCUGCACGCUGCUUACACCUGUUAUCAGUUUGUCAAAAUUCAUCAAGUUGUACACUUGUGUUAGUGUCCUUUUCUAUAUGUAUAUUAUCCUUCAAUAAAAAGAUUUUUCAAGUAAGUAAUUCAGUCCACAACAUGGAGCCUUUAAGCACCUUGGAGCUUUGUCACUAUGAAUAUCCUAGCGUUGCCAAUACUGUCACCCUACCCCCACCAUUACACCACCUCCUUAGAGACCCUUUGGAAAUAGCCACCAUUCUUAUCUAAGAGCUUCAACCUUUCUAGCCCCAGCUGAUCAGACUUCUUCUUAUCUGGAAACUUGGGAGCAGGAGUCAGGUGAUAAAAGUGCCUCAUCUAAUAAAUUGUAUGGAUUUGGAGGAAAGGAUCUCUGGACAUGGGCACAGUGCUAAGCCAAGAAUGCUGGUCUGCAGAAAAUAGAGCCAACACACAGAGUGAAGCAAACAGUCCUGUGGGAGAUGGAGAAGCCUCAGAGGUUGCGCACUCUCCAGCUCUGGUCAUAUAUAUCCCAGGUGUCACUGGGUAUCCUUGGGAUUGCUCACGUAGCCUUGCUAUUGAAAAACAGAAAGAAAGAAAGGCAGGCAGAAAGGCCUUACUUAUUUAAGCUAGUGCAAAUACGUUUCUGUUUGUGGAAUGUAUUAUCUCAUUUAGUCCUAACAACACUACAUAGUAAGUACCGUCACGAUUCCCAUUUCACAACUGAGAAAACGGAAGCCCAGAGAGGUUAUGUAACUCGCCCAAAUCACACAGCUGGUCAGUGGUGGUGCCAGGAUCUGGACCCAAGUACUCUUGACUCCAAAGGCUGAAAUCUUAACAACCAUAUUACACCACAUUGCAAGAGAAAUGCUGGAGAUGGCAAUGCAAAUUGUAUGUUGCAUUAAUGGAUUGAACAAACAGAGGCAUCUGAUUCUGUUAAAUGAGUUCAAAUGGUACAAAUAAUUGAAAGAUUGGCUGCUUAAGAAGUUGUUAUUUCUUUCACAAGGGAAUUAUACUUUGAGUCAUAGAUGUUAGAGAAAUAGAAAAUGCAUGGAGUGUGACAGAUUAUACUAAUGAGACUGUGUUGUUACAUCAGGAAAUUUAUUUUAUAGAUUUCAGGAAAGAACUCCCUUAGAAGAUCCUCACUGAUGACCUGUUUUUCCCAAAAUGUAAAUAUCCAGGAGAAAGGGGCUUUACUCCUAUAGAAGGAGAAAUCGAUAAAAGUUAACUUCAAGUCGUAGAGGGAGAGAGGCACCCGUGGUCACUUUCCAUGAUGAUGGCUGCCAGACCCACAAUCCACUCAGCAAGGCUUCCAGAUCAAUCACCAGCAAGCCACUGGUGACCCCCAGCAACCUUCAAAAGCUGCAAGAUGAACAGCUAUCUAGGCCCAGAACAACGCUGAAACUGCAUGACUGAAGAAGCAGGAAGACCUCUGGUGGUUGACUGACACUGUGCGUCCCAUCACUACCCACCCCCACCCUCACCGUUUCAUGAGCUUCUUGAACCUAACCUUAAGAAGCUCUGUCAGCUGGCAGAGAGGUAAGACAAUGCUAAAAAGGCAUAACGUCAACAACAAAUCCGCCUGCGUAUGUCUCUUCUCCCUCAUCCAUUCCCCACCAUUUGAGCCACAGGAAGUGUAACCUGUGUUUCGUGACUAAAGGACAUCAAGCUAUGACAAAUUCUAUUUGUGGAUGAUCCUGCCUUCUUCAAACUGACAGCCAAUAAAAACAUAUGAAAGAACAACAUAUCAAUAAACUGAGCAAGGCUUAUAUUCACCAUACAGUCAUGACAGUAUCUGCUUCGUGGGCGCCUCGGUGGCUCAAUGGGUUAAGCGUCUGCCUUCGGGUCAGGUCAUGACUCCAGGGUCCUGAGAUCGAGCCCUGCAUCAGGCUCGCAGCUCAGUGGGGGAAGCCUGUUUCUCUCUCUUCUACUCCCCCUGCUCGUCUUCCUGCUCUCGCUGUUUCUCUCUCUCUCUCUCUC